GACAGAGGUGCCGAGCGUUAGGCGGAAUCACUGGGCUUAAAGCGCGUGUAGGCGGACCCGUCAGUGUCUUGUGAAAUCCCACGGCUCAACCGUGGAACGGCUGGGCAUACUGCGGGUCUUGAGACACCUAGGGGCGAGCGGAACAGGCGGUGGAGCGGUGAAAUGCGUAGAUAUCGCCUGGAACGCCGACGGUGAAAACAGCUCGCUGGGGGUGUUCUGACGCUGAGACACGAAAGCCAGGGGAGCGAACGGG
rnacentral:rRNA from 1 species